rnacentral:lncRNA from 1 species
CACAAACAUCUGAAAGGUGUCAAAUUGGUGCACAACGCUUGAGGCACAGCUUACAUGCAGACAACACGACAAAUGACUAGAUGUCUUUCUCUCCAUCAUUUGACCAUGUGUGGAAGGAUUACACAAAAUAGGAAGUACGGCUGAUUCCAUACUCAUAGCAACAAUCCUCGCUCACAUUCCCCGCACCUGCAGUCAGACCACUAACGUAAUAUUAUUAAUACCAGCACUAGUAAUGUUAUGAGGUAGUUCUGAGGUCAUUCUAAACACUGACUCGAGUGCCAUUUUGUGUUUUGCGGGGCAGGUUGGCCCCCAGGCAGAAGCGAGAGAUCCAGACAGCCAUCAGGAAGAACAAGGAAGCAAACGCCGUGCUGACCCGCCUCAACAGUGAGCUCCAGCAGAAGCUCAAGGUGGUUCAUCAGGAGCGAGUGACUCUGGAGUCCCAGCUGGAGGUUCUCCGACCUUUGACCUCCUCGUGACCUGGUCUGCCACGCCGUGUCACUGCCGAGACAGCAGUCAAAGCAUAGCCUCCACCUAUGUGGCCCAGAAAUGUCCCCUUCACAACACACAAACGGAAGUCAGCAGCCAAGAUGUCACACUCAAAGAGCUUCCUUCCAACACAGCAGCAGAGCAGCCAUGUCUCUGAUGUCUGACACUAGCUCAAAGGACUGACUGACUGACUGACUGACUGACUGGAAUUUUUUAUCUCAGAGGAUUCGCUCUGAAAUAUCUGUUGAUAAAUGGUAAUGAGGCUAAACUGCUCUGUAAUCACAAGUUGUCUAAAGUGGCAUUCCCCAAUCUCUGUAGCACAAAGACCCAGGAGGUGCCGGAGGUACCGAGGUCAUUGAAGAGAAGAACUGGUCAAAAUGAAACUAGUAGCUCAAGGUACAAUAUAAUAACCUAACCUACUAUGCUCUCGUUGUUUUAGUGUGACUGUCCACAAUGACUGUUACAUAUACGGCGUUAAAGGGCUUUUUAAUGUGUCCCUGUCAUGCUGACUUGCAGAUUGAUGUUAUUGUGUCGUUGAAACUGUUUCGUACUUCUGCCUGAUUUUGAGUUGUGUUGAUGGGUAAUGAUAGAGUCCUGAAGUGAAACAUGUUCAGCACAGCCUGUCUCUAGCACCAUGCUCUCACACUGGCCAGACAGACUCCCCUGUCUGCCAGGUAACGCUAGUGCCUCUAGCCUGUCACUGCUGCAGAGAUCAGUACACUUCACAG